UAGAGAUAGCUGGUUAUUCAAGAAAAGGAUAUAAGUCCAACUUUAAGCUUUAAUAUAAUAAUAAAUACACCAAUAAGCUUAAAAUCUAUUCAAAUAAGGUACAGCCUAUUUGAAACAGGAUACAACCUACAACAGCGGGUAACACCUAAAUAAGUAUAAUCAAGUAGGCCUAAGAGCAGCCACCUUUUAAAUAGCGUUAAAGCCUUAUUAUACCACAUUACCAAUUCCAACCCAAACCAGAAACCCCUUACCAAUAUUGAAUGACUCUAUAAUUAUAUAGAAGACACUAUGUCUGAACUAGUAACAAGAAUAACUUCUCCACAACGUAAACGUAAGCCGGAAUGAACCUCUCACCGGCAAUUACCGCCAAUGAAUCAAUAGUAACAACUAAACAAGAAAACCUUACUUAUUUAAGCGUUAACCUUACACUAGAACCCUCCUGGAAAGAUUAAAAAAAGCGGAAGGAACUCGGCAAAUAUUAAUCCCGCCUGUUUACCAA
rnacentral:rRNA from 1 species